GGCCUACCAUGGUGGUAACGGGUAACGGGGUGUUAGGGCACGACACCGGAGAGGGAGCCUGAGAAACGGCUACCACAUCCAAGGAUGGCAGCAGGCGCGCAAAUUACCCAAUCCCGACACGGGGAGGUAGUGACAAUAAAUAACAAUACGGGGUUCUUUCGGAUUUCGUAAUUGGAAUGAGUACAAUUUAAAUCUCUUAACGAGGAACAAUUGGAGGGCAAGUCCGGUGCCAGCAGCCGCGGCAAUUCCAGCUCCAAUAGCGUAUAUUAAAGUUGCUGCAGUUAAAAAGCUCGUAGUUGAAUUUCGGGACCAAUAUGUCGGUCGUGCCUCGGUACGUACUGGCAUCGUUGGUUUCUCCCUUCUGACGAACCAAGAUGUCAUUUAUUUGGUGUCGUGGGGAAUCAGGACUGUUACUUUGAAAAAAUUAGAGCGUUUAAAGCAGGCUCACGCUUGAAUACAUUAGCAUGGAAUAAUGAAAUAAGACGUUUGAUUCUAUUUUGUUGGUUUCUAGGAUCGACGUAAUGAUUAAUAGGGAUAGUUGGGGGCAUUAGUAUUCAAUUGUCAGAGGUGAAAUUCUUGGAUUUAUUGAAGACUAACUACUGCGAAAGCAUUUGCCAAGGAUGUUUUCAUUAAUCAAGAACGAAAGUUAGGGGAUCGAAGACGAUCAGAUACCGUCGUAGUCUUAACCAUAAACUAUGCCGACUAGGGGUCGGAUGAUGUUAAUUUUUUAAUGACUCAUUCGGCGCCUUACGGGAAACC
rnacentral:rRNA from 1 species